CUACCAAAGGUAUUGUAAUAAGGUUUUAAUUGAAUGCUAAAAGAAUGGAAUUACAGAGAAAAGUUUUUUUAAAUUUAAUAAUUGAAGUUAUUUUAAUUUGUGAAGAAACAAUUAUAUAAAUUAAAGACAAGAAGACCCUAAGAAUUUAAGAAUUUUUAUUAAUAUAUUAUAUGUAUAUAUAUAUAAAUAAAAUUCUUAGUUGGGGCAACUAAAAAAUAUAUUAAACUUUUUUUUUAAAAAAAUGACCCAUUAUUAAUGAUAAUAUGAAAAAAAUACUCUAGGGAUAACAGCGUAAUAAUUUUUGAUAGAUCUUAUAGACAAAAUAGUUUGCGACCUCGAUGUUGGAUUAGGAUACUUUUUUAAUGAAGAUGUUAAAAAAAGAAGUUUGUUCAACUUUUAAAUUCCUACAUGAUCUGAGUUUAGACCGAUGAGAAUGAGGA
rnacentral:rRNA from 1 species